AGAAUCAACGCUGGCGGCGCGCUUAACACAUGCAAGUCGAACGAGAAAGGGAGCAAUCCUGAGUAAAGUGGCGUACUGGUGAGUAACACGUGGAUAUCUACCUCUUGGUGGGGAAUAACCUGGGGAAACCUGGGCUAAUACCGCAUAAGUUCGUGAGAAGAAAGGCGCAAGUCGCCGAGAGAGGAGUCCGCGGUCGAUUAGGUAGUUGGCGGGGUAAGAGCCCACCAAGCCAAAGAUCGAUAGCCGGCCUGAGAGGGCACGACGGCCGACACUAGGCGACUGAAACACGGGCCAGACUCCGUACGGGAGGCAGCAGUGGGGAAUCUUGCACGAAGUAGGGGGAAACCCUGA
rnacentral:rRNA from 1 species